rnacentral:rRNA from 1 species
AUGAAAUCACUUGAAUCGCUGGACCUCUCACGGAACAACUUUUCUGGUGAAAUCCCAACAAGCUUGUCAGAUUUGACUUAUUUAAGCUCCUUAGACCUGUCAUAUAACAAUCUUACAGGAAGAAUUCCAUCGGGACGCCAACUUGAUACCCUCUACUUGGAGAACCCGUCCAUAUACAUGGGCAACAUUGGUCUGUGUGGCCCUCCUCUUGAAAGGAAUUGCUCAGGAAAUAAUGCACUAGAGCAUGACAAUCAACAGAAAAUCGAGAAGGUUUCUGAGCCUGUGUUGCUCUUUUACUUUGGACUUGGGUCUGGGUUUGUGGCUGGCCUCUGGGUCGUGUUUUGUACACUACUGUUCAAGAAAGUGUGGAGAGUUGCCUAUUUUCGCCUCUUCGACAAGUUGUAUGACAAGGCAUAUGUGUUUCUGGUUGUUACCUGGGGCAGGAUAAACCACAAGGAGACAACAACUUGA